AGAGUUUGAUCAUGGCUCAGAUUGAACGCUGGCGGCAGGCCUAACACAUGCAAGUCGAGCGGUAGCACAGAGAGCUUGCUCUCGGGUGACGAGCGGCGGACGGGUGAGUAAUGUCUGGGAAACUGCCUGAUGGAGGGGGAUAACUACUGGAAACGGUAGCUAAUACCGCAUAAUGUCGCAAGACCAAAGUGGGGGACCUUCGGGCCUCAUGCCAUCAGAUGUGCCCAGAUGGGAUUAGCUAGUAGGUGGGGUAACGGCUCACCUAGGCGACGAUCCCUAGCUGGUCUGAGAGGAUGACCAGCCACACUGGAACUGAGACACGGUCCAGACUCCUACGGGAGGCAGCAGUGGGGAAUAUUGCACAAUGGGCGCAAGCCUGAUGCAGCCAUGCCGCGUGUGUGAAGAAGGCCUUCGGGUUGUAAAGCACUUUCAGCGGGGAGGAAGGCGUUAAGGUUAAUAACCUUGGCGAUUGACGUUACCCGCAGAAGAAGCACCGGCUAACUCCGUGCCAGCAGCCGCGGUAAUACGGAGGGUGCAAGCGUUAAUCGGAAUUACUGGGCGUAAAGCGCACGCAGGCGGUCUGUCAAGUCGGAUGUGAAAUCCCCGGGCUCAACCUGGGAACUGCAUUCGAAACUGGCAGGCUAGAGUCUUGUAGAGGGGGGUAGAAUUCCAGGUGUAGCGGUGAAAUGCGUAGAGAUCUGGAGGAAUACCGGUGGCGAAGGCGGCCCCCUGGACAAAGACUGACGCUCAGGUGCGAAAGCGUGGGGAGCAAACAGGAUUAGAUACCCUGGUAGUCCACGCCGUAAACGAUGUCGAUUUGGAGGUUGUGCCCUUGAGGCGUGGCUUCCGGAGCUAACGCGUUAAAUCGACCGCCUGGGGAGUACGGCCGCAAGGUUAAAACUCAAAUGAAUUGACGGGGCCCGCACAAGCGGUGGAGCAUGUGGUUUAAUUCGAUGCAACGCGAAGAACCUUACCUGGUCUUGACAUCCACAGAACUUUCCAGAGAUGGAUUGGUGCCUUCGGGAACUGUGAGACAGGUGCUGCAUGGCUGUCGUCAGCUCGUGUUGUGAAUGUUGGGUUAAGUCCCGCAAACGAGCGCAACCCUUAUCCUUUGUUGCCAGCGGUUAGGCCGGGAACUCAAAGGAGACUGCCAGUGAUAAACUGGAGGAAGGUGGGGAUGACGUCAAGUCAUCAUGGCCCUUACGACCAGGGCUACACACGUGCUACAAUGGCAUAUACAAAGAGAAGCGACCUCGCGAGAGCAAGCGGACCUCAUAAAGUAUGUCGUAGUCCGGAUUGGAGUCUGCAACUCGACUCCAUGAAGUCGGAAUCGCUAGUAAUCGUAGAUCAGAAUGCUACGGUGAAUACGUUCCCGGGCCUUGUACACACCGCCCGUCACACCAUGGGAGUGGGUUGCAAAAGAAGUAGGUAGCUUAACCUUCGGGAGGGCGCUUACCACUUUGUGAUUCAUGACUGGGGUGAAGUCGUAACAAGGUAACCGUAGGGGAACCUGCGGUUGGAUCACCU
rnacentral:rRNA from 1 species